GGGUCUAUGGCGCAGUGGUUGCGGCACGCUAGAGCGCGUCCGUUUUGCAUACGGAAGGUCGGGGGUUCAAUCCCCCCUAGAUCCA